rnacentral:rRNA from 1 species
UACGGAGGAUGCGAGCGUUAUCCGGAUUUAUUGGUUUUAAAGGGUGCGUAGGCGGGCUUUUAAGUCAGCGGUAAAAAUUCGGGGCUCAACCCCGUCCGGCCGUUGAAACUGGGGGCCUUGAGUGGGCGAGAAGAAGGCGGAAUGCGUGGUGUAGCGGUGAAAUGCAUAGAUAUCACGCAGAACCCCGAUUGCGAAGGCAGCCUUCCGGCGCCCUACUGACGCUGAGGCACGAAAGUGCGGGGAUCGAACAGG